UACGGAGGAUCCGAGCGUUAUCCGGAUUUAUUGGGUUUAAAGGGUGCGCAGGCGGGAGAUUAAGUCGGCGGUGAAAUUUUGCAGCUCAACUGUAAAAGUGCCUUCGAAACUGGUUUCCUUGAGUGUAGAUGAAGUAGGCGGAAUUUGUGGUGUAGCGGUGAAAUGCAUAGAUAUCACGAGGAACUCCGAUUGCGCAGGCAGCUUACUAAACUACUACUGACGCUCAGGCACGAAGGCGUGGGGAUCAAACAGGAUUAGAUACCCGGUA
rnacentral:rRNA from 1 species